UUGCUUUGGCAGCACAUAUACUAAAAUUGGAAUGAUACAGAGGUUAGCAUGGCCCCUAUGCAAGGAUGACACAAAUUCUUAAAGCGUUCCAUAUUAAA
rnacentral:snRNA from 1 species